UCUCGGCGUAAAGCGUGGUUAAUGAUAAGAAAACUAAAGCCGAAUACUCUCAAAACUGUUAUACGUACUUGACAGUAAGAAGCCCUUUUACGAAAGUAGCUUUACAGUAUUGAAUCCACGAAAGCUAAGGCACAAACUGGGAUUAGAUACCCCACUAUGCUUAGCCUUAAACCUAGAUAACCUAAUUACAUUUGUUAUCCGCCUGGGUACUACGAGCACUAGCUUAAAACCCAAAGGACUUGGCGGUGCUUAAUAACCCCCUAGAGGAGCCUGUUCUAGAACCGAUAACCCUCGUUAAACCUCACCCUUUCUUGUUUAUUCCGCCUAUAUACCGCCGUCGUCAGCUUACCCUGUGAAGGAUAAAAAGUGAGCAAAACAGUAA
rnacentral:rRNA from 1 species